rnacentral:rRNA from 1 species
AUUCACGCUGGCGGCGUGCCUAAUACAUGCAAGUCGAGCGAACGGACGAGAAGCUUGCUUUUCUGAUGUUAGCGGCGGACGGGUGAGUAACACGUGGAUAACCUACCUAUAAGACUGGGAUAACUUCGGGAAACCGGAGCUAAUACCGGAUAAUAUUUUGAACCGCAUGGUUCAAAAGUGAAAGACGGUCUUGCUGUCACUUAUAGAUGGAUCCGCGCUGCAUUAGCUAGUUGGUAAGGUAACGGCUUACCAAGGCAACGAUGCAUAGCCGACCUGAGAGGGUGAUCGGCCACACUGGAACUGAGACACGGUCCAGACUCCUACGGGAGGCAGCAGUAGGGAAUCUUCCGCAAUGGGCGAAAGCCUGACGGAGCAACGCCGCGUGAGUGAUGAAGGUCUUCGGAUCGUAAAACUCUGUUAUUAGGGAAGAACAUAUGUGUAAGUAACUGUGCACAUCUUGACGGUACCUAAUCAGAAAGCCACGGCUAACUACGUG